GAUCACAAAAACAUUGGAUGUUCGUUUGACGCUACACAAAAACAUGAUCCGUGAAAUAAUAUACACGGCCGGCCAAGGUCUCGAAGGACAAUCAAGACCUUAUAUACAUUCGGUCUCCUCGCCGUGCCAAGAGAUUCGAACCGGCUUUUGAAUGCAAUUGCAUUAGCAUAUCAAUGCUUGCCAGAUCGUAUUACUCAGGAUAUGUUCCAAUGAUUCCUUACGACGGCCUAGCUGUGGUCCGAUGGAUAUGUAAGUCAGGUAUCAACCUGAUUUACAAACAGAAUCCAAGAGCUUAGUCUGGUCUCUUUGCGACCCAUUCGAUUCAUAGAAGCCUCUUUUACAUCACAUGUUCUCUUUGUUCCAAUCAAUAAUUCCGGAGCCAUCUGCUCCCCCAAUGCAAUGUACCAAAUUGCAAGUCCCGCUGAAAUGAGCGUGUCGAAUUCACCUCGCCGUCUCUCAUAUUUCAAACUUUUCCCCUCAAAACGCUCGGCCCAUUUCGGAAAUCAUGGCUUUCCUUCUUCAGAUUCGUGGGACGAAGCGAGUUUUUUAAUGAUGAUGUAUGCCUUGGCACUUGGUGCGAAAAAAAAUAUAUGUGUAUAAAGUGAA